AUGGACCAAUCUAAAGAAAACUACAUUUCAGGGCCUGUUAAGGCUACAUGUCCAGUUGGAGGUCCAAAACAUGUUCUCGUGACUCAGCAAUUUCCUUGUCAGAAUCCAUUACCUGCAAAUAGUGGCCAGGCUCAGUGGGUCUUGUGUCCUUCAAAUUCUUCCCAGCGUGUUCCUUUGCAAGCACAAAAGCUUGUCUCCAGUCACAAGCCAGUUCAGAAUCAGAAGCAGAAGCAAUUGCAGGCAACCAGUGUACCUCAUCCUGUCUCCAGGCCACUGAAUAACACCUAAAAGAGCAAGCAGCCCCCGCUGUCGGCACCUGAAAAUAAUCCUGAGGAGGAACUGGCAUCAAAACAGGAAAAUGAAGAAUCAAAAAAGAGGCAAUGGGCUUUGGAAGACUUUGAAAUUGGUCACCUUCCGGGUAAAGGAAAGUUUGGUAAUGUUUAUUUGGCAAGAGAAAAACAAAGCAAGCUUAUUCUGGCUCUUAAAGUGUUAUUUAAAGUUCAGCUGGAGAAAGCAGGAUUGGAGCAUCAACUCAGAAGAGAAGUAGAAAUACAGUCCUACCUUCAACAUCCUGAUAUAAUCAGACUGUAUGGUUAUUUCCAUGAUGCCACCAGAGUCUACCUAAUUCUGGAAUAUACACCACUUAAAACAGUCAAUAGAGAACUUCAGAAACUUUCGAAGUUUGAUGAGCAGAGAACUGCUACUUAUAUCACAGAAUUGGCAAAUGCCCUGUCUUACUGUCAUUCAAAGACAGUUAUUCAUAGAGACAUUAAGGCAGAGAACUUACUUCUUGGAUCAGCUGGAUAGCUUAACAUUGCAAAUUUUGGGUGGUCAGUACAUGCUCCAUCUUCCGGGAGGACCACUCUCUGUGGCACCGUGGACUACCUGCCCCCCGAAAUGAUUGAAGGUCAGAUGCAUGAUGAGAAGGUGGAUCUCUGGAGCCUUGGAGUUCUUUGCUAUGAAUUUUUAGUUGGGAAGCCUCCUUUUAAGGCAGACACAUACCAAGAGACCUACAAAAGAAUAUCAUCAGUUGAGAAUUCACAUUCCCUGACUUUGUAACAGAGGGAGCCAGGGACCUCAUUUCAAGACUGUUGAAGUAUAAUCCCAGCCAGAGGCUAGUGCUCAGAGAAGUACUUGAAUACCCCUGGAUCACAGCAAAUUCAUCAAAACCAUCAAAUUGCCAAAACAAAGAAUCAACUAGCAAACAUUCUUAGGAAUCGUGCGGGGGGAGAAAUCCUUGAGCCAGUGCUGCCGUAUAACCUGUCAGGAACAUGCUACCGAGAUGUAUUUUACCAUUGACUGCUGCCCUCAAUCUAGAACACUACAAGAAAUAUUUGUUUUACUGAGCAGGUGUGCCUUGACCUCCCUACUCAGAAAGCUCCACAUCAAUAAACAUGACACUCUGAAGUGAAGGUAGCCACGAGAAUUGUGUUAACUGGUUCAUAACCUGGAGGCAAGGUUCGACUGCAGCCACCCCAUCAGCCUGUGCCAGGCAUGGUGUC